rnacentral:lncRNA from 1 species
ACUUUGUUUGAUUUCAUCAAAAUUGAAUAAUUGGGGUUCUUUGAUAUGCCGAAUCUAACUAUGUAUGUAGAUUCUUAAUUUUUGGUCCCUUUUUCAAAUUGGUCUACAUUAAGGUCCACAGGGUCCAAAAUUAAACUUAGUUUGAUUUUAACAAAAAUUGAAUCCUUGGGGUUCUUUGAUAUGCUGAAUUUAAAAAUGUACUUAGAUUUUUUAAUUAUUGGCCUAGUUUUCAA